GGCUGACGCUCGAGUUCGAAGGAAAGGUCGGCAAUCUCGUUCAACUCCUGUCGAAGGCGUCGAGCGACAUGCAGAUGACAGCUCAAUCGAUGUCGGCGACCGCGGAAGAAACCAACCAGCAGUCCACCGCCGUCGCUUCCGCCGCGGAAACGGCGUCGCUCAACGUCGAAUCGGUCGCCGCGGCGGCAGAGGAGCUUUCAUCGUCGAUCGGCGAAAUCAGCAGGCAGGUCACGCAGUCAGCGACCAUUGCC
rnacentral:misc_RNA from 1 species